CGAGGGGUAGUUUAAAUAAAAUACUAGCAUUGGAAGUUAGCGAUUGGGGAAAGUCCCCCAUCCUUUGA
rnacentral:tRNA from 1 species